rnacentral:tRNA from 1 species
GCGAGAGUGGCGGAAUUGGUAGACGCACUGGAUUUAGGAUCCAGCGCUUCGGCGUGGGGGUUCGAGUCCCCCCUCUCGCACCA